UACGGAGGGUGCAAGCGUUAUCCGGAUUCACUGGGUUUAAAGGGCGCGUAGGCGGGCCACCCAGUCCGGGGUGAAAUCUUUCGGCUCAACCGGAAAAGGGCCUUGGAUACUGGUGGUCUGGAGGAAGGUAGGGGCAUGCGGAACUUCCGGUGGAGCGGUGAAAUGCGUUGAUAUCGGAAGGAACGCCGGUGGCGAAAGCGGCGUGCUGGACCUUUGCUGACGCUGAUGCGCGAAAGCCAGGGGAGCGAACGGG
rnacentral:rRNA from 1 species